UUUUUUUUUUUUUAACACAAAAUGACUUUCAGCUGAACUUCUUUAUAUGGCCAUCUGCGUAAUUACUAUGACUCUUACUGAACUAGCAGCUUGUAGAUUAGUAACUGGAUUCUGCUCCCCCAAUAUCAUUGGGAGUUUUGCCAUUGACUUCAAUAGAUGCAGGACUGGACCCCUUGGAAACGCCUGAUUAUUGGAUAACUCCAAGCACUGGAGAGAGCUGACAUUGGUUGGCAGCUUGCGUGGGAAACGUGAAAGACUCAAAAGGCUGCACCUGUGCUCCCAUUUCUGAGCAGAGACCAACUUUGCUGAAGCCUGUGUGACUCAGUGUAAUGCUGUUGGUUCAUACCAGCUGGGGAUGGACAAACCAAGGGUGGUAACCAGAAGAUACUUGCUACCAGCUGAAACUGAGGUCCUUCACAGGUGGCAGGACCAUUCUGGUGUCCAUGAAAUGGAAAAUAAUUGUCCCACCAUUCUUGCAACUCAUAAAAAAAAUUGGAAUUCUACAUCCCCCUGCUGGAAAAAUGUUUUGAGAAUGCACACAACUUUAUGCCAUUACCUAAUCCUUGUGAACCUGGCAGUUUGGAAAGCAAAGCAAACUAAUAUAUAGCAAAUUCCUCCUCUUUUUCUGCUGAAUUAGUGGGUAGUCCACCUAUGAGAAUUCCUUUUAAAGCAACAGACCUUUUCUACCUAAGAAAUAUACUGGUCGUUCAACAAGGCACAGCAUUGCUGCAGAUUUUGUUGUGGAGAAUGUCUGAGAAAUGAAUGCCUUCACAGGAAAAUAAUAAUAAGGUUUAAAGGGGGUGGGGAAUCAGAAAUAACAAAUUAGUGUGAUAAAAUUGCCUUCAAAAUCCUGAUGAUGGAUGAAAAAUUCUCCUAAGUGAAUCCAGUAUGCUUAAUUAAACUUAAUUGUACAAAGAAUCAUUUGUAAAUGGCUAUAUGUGGAAAAGAAUAAAAAUGCUGGGUGUUAUCA
rnacentral:lncRNA from 1 species